rnacentral:rRNA from 1 species
UAGGGAAUCUUCCACAAUGGGCGCAAGCCUGAUGGAGCAACACCGCGUGAGUGAAGAAGGGUUUCGGCUCGUAAAACACUGUUGUAAGAGAAGAAUGACAUUGAGAGUAACUGUUCAAUGUGUGACGGUAUCUUACCAGAAAGGAACGGCUAAAUACGUGCCAG